rnacentral:snRNA from 17 species
AGUUUUGAACAGUGGCAGUAUUGCAGCCAAUGAGGUUUAUCUGAGGCACAAUUAUUGCUAAUUGAAAAAUAAAAUAAAAUAAGA